CCUACGGGAGGCAGCAGUCGAGAAUUAUUCACAAUGGGGGAAACCCUGAUGGUGCGACGCCGCGUGGGGGAAUGAAGGUCUUCGGAUUGUAAACCCCUGUCAUGUGGGAGCAAAUUAAAAAGAUAGUACCACACGAGGAAGAGACGGCUAACUCUGUGCCAGCAGCCGCGGUAAUACAGAGGUCUCAAGCGUUGUUCGGAAUCACUGGGCGUAAAGCGUGCGUAGGCUGUUUCGUAAGUCGUGUGUGAAAGGCGCGGGCUCAACCCGCGGACGGCACAUGAUACUGCGAGACUAGAGUAAUGGAGGGGGAACCGGAAUUCUCGGUGUAGCAGUGAAAUGCGUAGAUAUCGAGAGGAACACUCGUGGCGAAGGCGGGUUCCUGGACAUUAACUGACGCUGAGGCACGAAGGCCAGGGGAGCGAAAGGGAUUAGAUACCCCUGUAGUC
rnacentral:rRNA from 1 species